GGAGUGGGUAUAGCUCAGUGGUAGAACCCAUGCUUAUCAUGCAUGAGGUCAUGGGUUCAAUCCCCAGUACCUCCA